UAACCCACUCACACACUAACUCACCCAUUCAUUUACACACUAACCCACCCAUUCAUUCACAGUAACUCACCCACUCGUUCACACACCCACUCAUUCACACACUAACCCACUCAUUCACACACUAACUCACCCACUUGUUCACACACAAACUCGCCCACUCGUUCACACACUAACUCACCCACUCAUUCACACACUAACCCAUUCAUUCACACAGUCACCCACUCAUUCACACACUAACUCACCCACUCGUUCACAACCCAUUCACACACUAACCCACCCAUUCAUGCACUAACCCACUCUUUCACACACCAACUCACCCACUCAUUCACACACCCACUCAUUCACACACUAACUCACCCACUCGUUCACACACCCAUUCACAAAAUCCCUCAUUCACACACUAACCCAUUCACACACUAACUCAGCCACUCGUUCACACACCCAUUCACACACUAACUCAUCGACUCAUUCACAUGCCCACUCAUUCACACAGUAACUCACCCACUCAUUCACAAACUUGCCCACUGCUUCACACACUAACUCGCCCACUCACACACUAACUUGCCCACUCGUUCACAAACUCACCCAUUCAUUCAUACACUAACCCACCCACUUAUUCACACACUAACUCAUUCACACAACCCAACUUAUUCACACACUAACCCACUCAUUCACACACUAACCCACCCACUCAUUCACAAACUAACCCAUUCAUUCACAAACUCACCCACUCGUUCACACACCCACUCAUUCACACACCUACUCAUUCACACACUAACUCGCCCACUCAUUCAUACAGUAACUCGCCCACUCAUUCACACUAACUCGCCCACUCGUUCACACACUAACUUGCCCACUCGUUCACACACUAACUUGCCCACUCGUUCACAAACUCACCCAUUCACACACUCACUCAUUC
rnacentral:lncRNA from 10 species